rnacentral:tRNA from 1 species
GCCCGCAUAGCGCAGUGGCAGUGCGUUCCUCUCGUAGCAGGGCCCCGAACUCCGCUCUCGGAGCUCCGUCUCCAGCUUGCAAGGAAAGGUCAGUGGUUCAAUCCCGCUUGGGGGCA